rnacentral:rRNA from 1 species
GGGUCAGUAGGUUGGCCGUGCCACUGGUAUGCACUGGCCUUACUGAUUCCUCCUUCUUGAAGAACCGCGAUGUCUUUAACUUGGUGUUGCAGGGAAACAGGACUGUUACUUUGAAAAAAUUAGAGUGUUUAAAGCAGGCAAUCGCUUGAAUACAUUAGCAUGGAAUAAUGAAAUAGGACGUUCGAUCCUAUUUUGUUGGUUUCUAGGAUUGACGUA